rnacentral:rRNA from 1 species
CCUACGGGAGGCAGCAGUGGGGAAUAUUGGACAAUGGGGGAAACCCUGAUGCAGCGACGCCGCGUGAAUGAUGAAGGGCCUCGGCGCGGAAAGCCCUGUCAGCAGGGAAGAAAAGGACGGUACGUGAAGAAGAAUCCACGGCUAACUACGUGCCAGCAGCCGCGGUAAUACGUAGGGGGCAAGCGUUAUCCGGAUUUACUGGGUGUAAAGGGAGCGCAGGCGGCGCGGCAAGAGUGAUGUGAAAGCCCGCGGCGCAACCGCGGGACUGCAUUUGAAACUACCGGGCUGGAGUGCCGGAGAGGUAGGCGGAAUUCCUGGUGUAGCGGUGAAAUGCGUAGAUAUUAGGAGGAACACCAGUGGCGAAGGCGGCUUACUGGACUGCAACUGACACUGAGGCUCGAAAGUGUGGGUAUCAAACAGGAUUAGAUACCCUAGUAGUC